CCUACGGGCUGCAGCAGUGGGGAAUAUUGCACAAUGGGGGAAACCCUGAUGCAGCGACGCCGCGUGAGUGAAGAAGUAUUUCGGUAUGUAAAGCUCUAUCAGCAGGGAAGAAGCAAGACGGUACCUGACUAAGAAGCCCCGGCUAACUACGUGCCAGCAGCCGCGGUAAUACGUAGGGGGCAAGCGUUAUCCGGAAUUACUGGGUGGAAAGGGAGCGUAGACGGCUGUGCAAGUCUGAAGUGAAAGGCUGUGGCUCAACCGCGGGACUGCUUUGGAAACUGUAUAGCUUGAGUGCAGGAGGGGUAGGUGGAAUUCCGAGUGGAGCGGUGAAAUGCGUAGAUAUUAGGAGGAACACCAGUGGCGAAGGCGGCUUGCUGGACAGUAACUGACGUUGAGGCGCGAAAGCGUGGGGAGCAAACAGGAUUAGAUACCCCAGUAGUC
rnacentral:rRNA from 1 species